AGCCGCGGUAAUACGGAGGAUCCGAGCGUUAUCCGGAUUUAUUGGGUUUAAAGGGUGCGUAGGCGGCCUUUUAAGUCAGCGGUGAAAGUCUGUGGCUCAACCAUAGAAUUGCCGUUGAAACUGGGGGGCUUGAGUAUGUUUGAGGCAGGCGGAAUGCGUGGUGUAGCGGUGAAAUGCAUAGAUAUCACGCAGAACCCCGAUUGCGAAGGCAGCCUGCCAAGCCAUUACUGACGCUGAUGCACGAAAGCGUGGGGAUCAAACAGGAUUAGAUACCCUGGUAGUCCACGCAGUAAACGAUGAUCACUAGCUGUUUGCGAUACACUGUAAGCGGCACAGCGAAAGCGUUAAGUGAUCCACCUGGGGAGUACGCCGGCAACGGUGAAACUCAAAGGAAUUGACGGGGGCCCGCACAAGCGGAGGAACAUGUGGUUUAAUUCGAUGAUACGCGAGGAACCUUACCCGGGCUUAAAUUGCAGAUGAAUUACGGUGAAAGCCGUAAGCCGCAAGGCAUCUGUGAAGGUGCUGCAUGGUUGUCGUCAGCUCGUGCCGUGAGGUGUCGGCUUAAGUGCCAUAACGAGCGCAACCCUUGCCACUAGUUACUAACAGGUAAAGCUGAGGACUCUGGUGGGACUGCCAGCGUAAGCUGCGAGGAAGGCGGGGAUGACGUCAAAUCAGCACGGCCCUUACAUCCGGGGCGACACACGUGUUACAAUGGCGUGGACAAAGGGAGGCCACCUGGCGACAGGGAGCGAAUCCCCAAACCACGUCUCAGUUCGGAUCGGAGUCUGCAACCCGACUCCGUGAAGCUGGAUUCGCUAGUAAUCGCGCAUCAGCCAUGGCGCGGUGAAUACGUUCCCGGGCCUUGUACACACCGCCCGUCAAGCCAUGGGAGCCGGGGGUACCUGAAGUGCGUAACCGCGAGGAGCGCCCUAGGGUAAAACUGGUGACUGGGGCUAAGUCGUAACAAGGUAGCCGUACCGGAAGGUGCGGCUG
rnacentral:rRNA from 1 species